GAUUAUCACAAUCUAAUAAAUAGUUUUUUGGCCAUUCAAGUUCACUAAUUACACUUUCGAUGUCACACAUCGCUGAAAAAAUAGUAUCUGAAGGAACGAUGUAGAUGAAAAUAAACUCUAACUUUUGAGGUUUUUCUGUCUUUAUUUUGAUCCGUAGAUAAAGUGACAAACACUAUUCAAAUGUAUACAAAAGUGUAAAAUUUCUUGUUCAAUAUAACAAUAUCAACAUUUGGGGUUUGAAACAAAUUUGAUUCUUGUGGGUAUUUUGGGUUCGAACUAGAUCUGAUUUUGGAAUUGUUAAGGUUGCGUCUUUGGUAUGAUGGGGUUCUCAAUUGGUUAUGUAUAUCUGAGUCAAUCUCAAAGAGGGAUGGGAGGUUGUUGAUUGGCUUUGGGUAUGUUGUUUUGGUCACUCUCAGUCAUACUAUUACCUAUCUCUAGUUAGAUGCUCAUAGGUUAUUUUAAUGAAACCCUUCUUUUAAGUGAACAAAUAAGGGGAAUUUUUUAUCAUACAAGAGCUACAUCUUCUCAAAUUUCACAGACAACUGUAACCUACUCGAUUUUACUACAACUGGCGGUCGUUUCACCUGGCAUCAUAAUAACAAUGGCCUUCACAUCAUCUCAAAGAAGCUAAAUCAGGGUCUAGAAAAUGUUGCUUGGCGCCUCGCCUUCCGAGAGGCUUUCGCUGAAGUUCUUUUAAUGCUGACUUGAUUCUUAACUGAAGCUUGGACUGGCCCUAGAUGAUCUAAAAUUUUUCCAAGUUACUCUUACACCUUACAUGGCAUCUGGAUCUCAAUUGAGUACAUUAGAUCAAUCAGCUAUGAUAAAGUCAUCUUAUACGGUCCAAAUGGUUUCGAUGUUGGUUGUGAUAUAUUGAAAAGAAAUGUUGGAGAAAGGAGUACAGCAAAGAUUGGACCUGGAUGGAUGCUAUUUAACAAGUUUAAAGGUGGGAAUGAAAUUAAAGUUGAUGUUCCUCAACAAAUUGCUCAAAAAAAAAAAAGUUUGGUAACAAAAACACUUUAAACUUCAUAUUUUAUCGAUUUCUAGAAAGUUGUGAUAUAUUAAUGUUUUCAUUUUGUUGAACCUUAUGUCCUAACACAUCCCUACAAAAACACUUUAAACUUCAUAUUUUAUUGAUUCUUUUCAUCUUCGGUGUCUGGGUUAUUGGUCCGGUAUUUGGAAACUCAAGGUACCCCAUAAGGUCAAGAACUUAGUGUGGCGUAUGCGUCGGGGAUGCUUACCGAUCUGCGCUCGCCUCCUUGACAAAUGAGUCCAAUGUCCAACCAAUUGUGCUAGUUUUCCCUCGAAUUAUAAGGAUCUCGCUCAUGUUUUUUUUUUUACUGUCCUUUUGUUGUUCAAGUUUGGAAUAGAACCGACCUCUGAGAAACUAUUCAAUCACCAUGUCAUUUACUGUUUCGGCCACUAAUACCAACGAUUGGCAUACAUACUUUGGAGCCUUUGGAAACACCGUAAUCUUAGAGUUUGAGAUGAUGCUAUGGAAGCUAGUGCUACGGUUGUUGAAUGUGCUAGGAAUUUGGUUGUUGAUUGGCAACUGGCUAAUGUUCCCGCUGCACUUGCUCAAUCUUUUCAGCAGCAGACGCAACAACCUCUUGAUGGGGGGGACUUCGGUCGUAUUUUUGGAUCCAGGUGAUAGUUCGGCUGCUGCAUCCUCCUUUGGCUGGCAGCACCCUAUGUCGGGUAGGUACAAGAGCAACAUUGAUGCCACUUUCUCUUCUCAUUUCAACUGCAACGGCAUUUCCAUUUGUGUUCGAGACUCUGAAGGUACGUUUGUUCUGGCCAAGGUUGCUAGUUAUCCUUGUCUUUAUUCAGUUGAUGUUGGUGAAGCGUUGGGGUUUGCACUCUGCUUUGCAGUGGUUGAGCGACAUGAAAUUUGAUAACGUUGUCUUUCAAAUGGAUUCCAAGAUGACGUCUGAUGCCUUUCAUGCUACUCGGGACGACACUUCUGAAUUUUGGUUUAUUAUUUCUUCAUGUCGUUCCUUAUUCAGCUCUUUCUUUACCAACUCUAAGGUGUAGUUUGUUAGGUGACAAACCAACAGGGUUUCUCAUGCUCUUGCAGAAAGAGGCCACGUUUCUUGCAAGCUUCUGGUUUCAUUAAAGACAUCAGCAUUAAGAUGCUUCAAGACUAUGAUUUCUCAGAGUUACAGAUGAAUUAUCUUACUAUUUUUAGCUUUAUUUAGUAGAAACUAUUGCCUCUGCUAAUGAGGAUUAACUCAACUAGUAGGAUUACAUUGUAUUAAUUAAAAUGUCAUUGGUCCGGUUCAUAUUAGUGGUCCUUCAUUGGCAAGUCAUUUGCAACUUAAGUACCAUUUUCAAUGGCUUGUGCCAUGCCCUGCACCAUGUACCAUGUAUAAAAAUUGUUGACUCUGCCAAUAACAAUUAGCUCAACUAGUAGGAUCACAUUGUAUUAACUAAAAGCUCAUCAUUGUAUUAACUAAAUUAUCUGUUAACCCA